rnacentral:lncRNA from 1 species
AAAAAUUGGGGGUUCUGAAGGCACUUGCUUUUAAUCCCACGCAACCAAAAUUCUCGAGGAACACAACUCGCAAAAUUUGACCAAUUUGUUUGAAUUUCGAUGGAACAAAAAAUAAGUUUCAGUAGUGAAAAUCGCAAUGUGAUAAGCUUGUUCGUUCCGUUCGCUGCACGAAAACAGGGGCGAGACCUCGUAAUUUUACAUUCUUCUUUGCUACAAUUUGAUGUUGCAACAUGAAUACCACGGUAUCGAUGAAUUUGAAGGCCAAUAUUUGAGCUUUAUGUGUUGUUUCUAUUACUGGAUGUUAAAGAUUCGGCCUUAUCGAAAUACACUCGUGGAAAAUCUUCUGGCUUUGUUAUUUCACAGAAUUGUUUGUCGCUGUUUCAUCUUAUAAAGUUAUAACCAUUGUUAUCAUUAUGGUUAUUUUGUUUAUACUAGAGAAGCAAAAUUC